GACGAACGCUGGCGGCGUGCCUAACACAUGCAAGUCGAACGGAGCACCCUUGACUGCGACUUCGGUCAACGGAUAGGAAUGCUUAGUGGCAGACGGGUGAGUAACGCGUGAGUAACCUGCCCUUGAGAGGGGGAUAACACAUCGAAAGGUGUGCUAAUACCGCAUAACAUUGCGAAACCGCAUGAUUUUGCAAUCAAGNUUUAUCGCUCAAGGAUGGACUCGCGUCUGAUUAGAUAGUUGGUGAGGUAACGGCUCACCAAGUCGACGAUCAGUAGCCGGACUGAGAGGUUGAACGGCCACAUUGGGACUGAGACACGGCCCAGACCUCCUACGGGAGGCAGCAGUGGGAAUAUUGCACAAUGGGCGAAAGCCUGAUGCAGCAACGCCGCGUGAGGG
rnacentral:rRNA from 1 species